rnacentral:rRNA from 1 species
UCCGUAGGCGGGCAAUUAAGUCAGAGGUGAAAUCCCACAGCUCAACUGUGGAACUGCCUUUGAUACUGGUUGUCUUGAGUUACAGUGAAGUAGAUAGAAUAUGUAGUGUAGCGGUGAAAUGCAUAGAUAUUACAUAGAAUACCGAUUGCGAAGGCAGUCUACUAACUGUCGACUGACGCUAAGGGACGAAAGCGUGGGGAGCGAACAGGAUUAGAUACCCUGGUAGUC